ACGUAGGGUGCGAGCGUUAAUCGGAAUUACUGGGCGUAAAGCGUGCGCAGGCGGUUUUGUAAGACAGGCGUGAAAUCCCCGGGCUCAACCUGGGAACUGCGUUUGAGACUGCAAGGCUAGAGUACGGCAGAGGGGGGUGGAAUUCCACGUGUAGCAGUGAAAUGCGUAGAGAUGUGGAGGAACACCGAUGGCGAAGGCAGCUCCCUGGAUCGAUACUGACGCUCAUGCACGAAAGCGUGGGUAGCAAACAG
rnacentral:rRNA from 1 species